rnacentral:rRNA from 1 species
AACGAACGCUGGCGGCAGGCCUAACACAUGCAAGUCGAGCGAGCAUUUCGGUGCUAGCGGCGGACGGGUGAGUAACGCGUGGGAACGUGCCCUUUUCUGCGGAAUAGUCCUGGGAAACUGGGGGUAAUACCGCAUACGCCCUUUUGGGGAUAGAUUUAUCGGAGAAGGAUCGGCCCGCGUUGGAUUAGGUAGUUGGUGGGGUAAUGGCCCACCAAGCCGACGAUCCAUAGCUGGUUUGAGAGGAUGAUCAGCCACACUGGGACUGAGACACGGCCCAGACUCCUACGGGAGGCAGCAGUGGGGAAUCUUAGACAAUGGGGGCAACCCUGAUCUAGCCAUGCCGCGUGAGUGAUGAAGGCCUUAGGGUUGUAAAGCUCUUUCAGCUGGGAAGAUAAUGACGGUACCAGCAGAAGAAGCCCCGGCUAACUCCGUG